CAAAACAUAGCCCUCGGUAAUAUCGAAGGUGCAACCUGCCCAAUGGUUUUCAAUUUAAUAAGAUUGACUUCUUAAAAGAAGACUUAAAGGACGCAGUAUCCUGACUGUGAUAAUGUAGCAUAAUCACUCGCCAUUUAAUUGAUGGAUAGUAUGAAUGGUUAAACGAAUAUUACACUGUCUCAGAUAAAAUCUAUAUGAAAUUAAAAUAAUAGUAAAGAUGCUAUUUAAAACUGUAAGACGAAAAGACCCUAUAGAGCUUGACUACAUUCUCUUUCAAAAAAAACCAGAGAAAAACCUAAAAAAAAGAGAGAAAGGUAGUUUAGUUGGGGCGACUUUCUUCUAAAGUAAACGAAGAUAAGCAAAGUUAACAAAAUAACUUAUUGUAAAACAAAUCUGUUUAACAAUUAUAAAAAUAGGCUGUAAUGACCCGUUAAAUAAAAAUAGAAUUUUUAACGAUCAAUAAAUAAAAGCUACCUUAGGGAUAACAGGAUAAUUUCGUUUUAGAGAUCUAUUCA
rnacentral:rRNA from 1 species